UGGGGAAUCUUGGACAAUGGGCGCAAGCCUGAUCCAGCAAUGCCGCGUGGGUGAAGAAGGCCUUCGGGUUGUAAAGCCCUUUCGGCGGGGAAGAAAUCGGUCAGGCGAAUAGUCUGGCCGGAUGACGGUACCCGCAGAAGAAGCACCGGCUAACUACGUGCCAGCAGCCGCGGUAAUACGUAGGGUGCGAGCGUUAAUCGGAAUUACUGGGCGUAAAGGGUGCGCAGGCGGCCCUGUAAGACCGGUGUGAAAUCCCCGGGCUCAACCUGGGAAUUGCGCUGGUGACUGCAGGGCUAGAGUACGGUAGAGGGGGGUGGAAUUCCUGGUGUAGCAGUGAAAUGCGUAGAGAUCAGGAGGAACACCGAUGGCGAAGGCAGCCCCCUGGGCCUGUACUGACGCU
rnacentral:rRNA from 1 species